AUGGUUCUUCCAUUUGGCAUAUUUACUGGCUGGCUUAUCAUGCUUUUCUUGUUUUUUUUUCCUACAGCUGACAAUUUCAGGACAGAACGAGUCCCAAGUGUCAAUUUCAGAGUUCAAAAGCCAGAGAAGAAAGCUGCAUCUUCUCCCCCGGAUGUGCAGUUAACUUUGACUCUGGCAGAGGUAUUGCUGCUGAAGGAUUCUCAGAUGCUUCAGGGAAAUCGAUUUCACAUAAACUGAGAAUUUAGGCACUCUAAGUGAGGGUCCUCAAAUCUCCUGGG
rnacentral:lncRNA from 1 species